rnacentral:rRNA from 1 species
ACGCUGGCGGCGUGCUUAACACAUGCAAGUCGAACGGUGACCCUCGGAGCUUGCUCUGGGGUGAUCAGUGGCGAACGGGUGAGUAACACGUGAGUAACCUGCCCCAGACUCUGGGAUAACACCGGGAAACCGGUGCUAAUACCGGAUAUGACACGAAGAGGCAUCUCUAUCGUGUGGAAAGAACUUCGGUCUAGGAUGGACUCGCGGCCUAUCAGCUUGUUGGUGAGGUAAUGGCUCACCAAGGCGACGACGGGUAGCCGGCCUGAGAGGGCGAUCGGCCACACUGGGACUGAGACACGGCCCAGACUCCUACGGGAGGCAGCAGUGGGGAAUAUUGCACAAUGGGCGCAAGCCUGAUGCAGCGACGCCGCGUGAGGGAUGACGGCCUUCGGGUUGUAAACCUCUUUCAGCAGGGAAGAAGCGAAAGUGACGGUACCUGCAGAAGAAGCACCGGCUAACUACGUGCCAGCAGCCGCGGUAAUACGUAGGGUGCGAGCGUUGUCCGGAAUUAUUGGGCGUAAAGAGCUUGUAGGCGGUUUGUCGCGUCUGCUGUGAAAAUCCGAGGCUCAACCCCGGACUUGCAGUGGGUACGGGCAGACUAGAGUGUGGUAGGGGAGACUGGAAUUCCUGGUGUAGCGGUGAAAUGCGCAGAUAUCAGGAGGAACACCGAUGGCGAAGGCAGGUCUCUGGGCCACUACUGACGCUGAGAAGCGAAAGCAUGGGGAGCGAACAGGAUUAGAUACCCUGGUAGUCCAUGCCGUAAACGUUGGGAACUAGGUGUGGGCCUCAUUCCACGAGGUCCGUGCCGCAGCUAACGCAUUAAGUUCCC